AUUGAACGCUGGCGGCACGCCUUACACAUGCAAAUCGAACGGUAACGGGCCUUCGGGUGCCGACGAGUGGCGAACGGGUGAGUAAUACAUCGGAACGUGCCCGAUCGUGGGGGAUAACGAGGCGAAAGCUUUGCUAAUACCGCAUACGAUCUACGGAUGAAAGCAGGGGACCGCAAGGCCUUGCGCGGACGGAGCGGCCGAUGGCAGAUUAGGUAGUUGGUGGGAUAAAAGCUUACCAAGCCGACGAUCUGUAGCUGGUCUGAGAGGAUGAUCAGCCACACUGGGACUGAGACACGGCCCAGACUCCUACGGGAGGCAGCAGUGGGGAAUUUUGGACAAUGGGCGCAAGCCUGAUCCAGCCAUGCCGCGUGCAGGAUGAAGGCCUUCGGGUUGUAAACUGAUUUUGUACGGAACGAAAAGCCUUCUUUUAAUACAGGAGGGUCAUGACGGUACCGUAAGAAUAAGCACCGGCUAACUACGUG
rnacentral:rRNA from 1 species